ACCAAUGCAUGUUGCGACACUCUGCCGAGCCUUAUUCGAUCUUAGUUAUCAUUCAUAUUGUCUAUAAUUACACCACACAAGCAAUGCAAAGUAGAAAACAAUCAAACUCAUAUGAAACACAUUGAAAAUCAAGUCAAACAAUGCAGAUAUACAACAUACGGAAAUGCACUUCUGCAUUUCUGGAAAAUCAAAUUUUGAACAAAUACGAAAGUCCAUUUUCGUAUUAGUCUUCAACUCAGAAAAAACGCAAAUGGCAGAAAUGCAUGGAAACCAAACAUGUUCAAACACAUUGUUCAUCUAAACUACCUAUCAAUCACAUUCCUCAGUUAAAUUACCUGUCUAAAUUACCUAUUACACAAUCUCAUGCUUAAUUUCUACAAAUGCAUGUAUAAAGAAAUCAAAUGUCAAAAUCUUGAACUCAAACACUUACCAAAUGUGAGUUUGAUUUUGAGUACUUUGAUUGAUUGGAUGUUGAGAGUAGAAAUUUAAAAGUGAGUUGAGAGAGUUUGAGAAUUUAAGAGAAUAUGCUGGAAAUGGGGAAGGGGGAUCUAGAACGUUUUUGAUUAAAAAUUCGUCCAAAUGUACAUUUCUGUAAGUUAUCUGAAGAUGUAUUUCGGUAUUAAUUUUUGACAUAAAAUUAUAGUAUGGCUUAUUUACCAAUGGAUGUGUGAACGGGGGUGUGUCCGAAAGUCUGUUUCCGUAUUACGGAAUAAUUUUGAUUUUUCACUAGAUUGUAGGAGCAAUCCUUAGGGUGGAAAAAAUAACCCUCCUUAAAUAUAUAUCUACAUUUUUGAAAAUUUGAGUCAAGUCUAAAUCCGAGUUUAAGAUAGUCCAUUCCGAUUUCAAAUCAUCUCUUAGAGUAAAAUUAAAUAAGUUAAAUAUAAUGGAUCAAGUCGAACCGACCGGCCUAAAGCGGCCAUACCUUGUGUGGGACUAUACACUCCAAUGUAGACACAUAUUUAAUUAUCAUAACUAGUCGAUCUGAGACAUAGAAGCAAGAGACUUGAUUCUCAUUAACAGUACAUGAAAACAUAAAUAAUAAUGAUAAAUAAAUUAAUCUUUAAGGAUUCAGAGCACACAACCUUCGUACCAAGGGGAGAGAUAUUUUUUAUCCUUGCGACUACUAUGAUUGAUUCUGCAGUUACCAAUUAGUGUACUCUGCAUGUACAAAACCAUUUUGUUACACCAUGUUGGUUAAUUAACUGUG
rnacentral:lncRNA from 1 species